rnacentral:rRNA from 1 species
GAAUCUUAGACAAUGGGCGCAAGCCUGAUCUAGCCAUGCCGCGUGAGCGAUGAAGGCCUUAGGGUUGUAAAGCUCUUUCACCGGGGAAGAUAAUGACGGUACCCGGAGAAGAAGCCCCGGCUACCCCCGUGCCAGCAGCCGCGGUAAUACGGAGGGGGCUAGCGUUGUUCGGAAUUACUGGGCGUAAAGCGCGCGUAGGCGGGCUGUUAAGUCGGGGGUGAAAUCCCGGGGCUCAACCCCGGAACUGCCUCCGAUACUGGCAGCCUAGAGGUCGAGAGAGGUGAGUGGAAUUCCGAGUGUAGAGGUGAAAUUCGUAGAUAUUCGGAGGAACACCAGUGGCGAAGGCGGCUCACUGGCUCGAUACUGACGCUGAGGUGCGAAAGCGUGGGGAGCAAACAGGA